ensembl:lncRNA
ACAAAAAAAAACACAAAAAGAGUUAAAAAAAGAAUUAAAAAAUAUGAUAAAAAAAAAGAAAGCAGAGGAACAACAUAAUGCAAUGCAAAUUUUUCACGAUAUUAUAAACAUGUGUAAAAAAAAUGAAGUGUUUUCUUUUGUUAAUGAUAAAUUUGAUAAUGUAACUGAAUUUGUGAAAACCAAAGCUAAUAGUGUUAAAAGCUCAAAAAGUAAGCCACAAAUAAAUGCAAGUAGUAAUGUGUUUUCCAAUGUGUCUACUAGUAAACAUGUAUACUCUUCUGUGAAAAUACAUGAGCCCGACAUUUACACAACUAAUACAAACAAAACAAUAAAACAAUCAUGUCCCAAAACUAGUAACAAUGAUUACCCCCAACACAUAAAUAAAAAAAGAAACUUCAGUACUUCUACAGCUAAUAUACCAACAUAUAAUGAAAACAAACAUGUAAAAAAAGGUAAUGAACAAAUAUACAAUAAUCAUAUAUUUUUUGAUCCUACGAAACAAAAAAAAAUAAAAAGAUUUGAAUCUUGCACCACCCCUAGAAGACAGUACGACGAAAAGGAUAAACAUUUUAAUUACACUCAGCAUAAACCUAUUAUUCAUAAUAUUGGACAAACUGAAAGAUAUAAAGAUGUGAAACGCGACUCAUUUGUUUAUCAUAUGAAACAGGAAGUCGGUUUAGACAACACAAAAUGUGAUAUAGCAUCUAAACUUGACACAUGUACUGUAUCCCAAAAAUUUACAACCCCAAAAAAUGUAACAACCCAAAUAACUUCCUACGAAGUCAUGCACAAUAAAACAAAAUCUGUCGAAAAGAAAUCCUUCUUUGGACUAUUCAGUUUACUCAACUUCAGUCGAAAAAAAGAACAUAAGUUAGAAAAAAAAGAAUCUAUUAAAAAAUCAGAACAAAUAGAACAUAAAUCCCAUCCAUUAGUAUACCCAUUAAUACAUCCAGAGCAGCCCAAAAGAAACAAACAAACUGAUAUAUUUUGUGAACAAACCGAAUUGAACAAAAAAAAAGAGUUUUAUGUAAAAAAUAAAAAUAAAACGAUACAAAAAACAAAAGAAAGUGGUAAUGACACAAACACUACUAACAAAAUUAAUAAUAGUAAUAAAAAUAGUGUCAUAUGUAUCGAAAUAAAAAAUUCAACUUAUGUUAUACAUAAAAUUAUGUCCUCCUAUUUAAGCAAAAACUACAGUACUAUUGUUAAUAUGUUAUAUAAACCUGAAUAUAUUUAUAUCGAUUUUUAUUUGACAUAUUUAUAUAUAAAAUCAUUGAUAAAAUUAAGAAGAUAUAAUGAUUGUUUACAAUACAUUUUUAAUAUUAAUGUAAAAGGAUUAAAAAAUAUAAAUUUCAUUAAAACGAUUCUUCACUAUAUGUGUGGUAUAUGUUAUGAAAAAUUAGCUAGUUAUAAAUUAAGUACAAUGGAAUAUUCAAAAGCCAUUGUACAAGAAAUAAAAGAUGAUAAUACUAUAAAUAAUUCCAAUAUACAUGAACAUGAGAAACAAACAAAAAAUAAAAUAGACAUAAAUAAUAUGUAUACACAUGUACAAAUAUACAAAAAAGGGUUGUAUAAUGUUCUUCCAUUUAUUUGUAUGUGUUUGGAUAAAUUAAUAGGAAAUAGCCAAUUAAGAAAAGAUGAAGAAACAAACAUUUUAAAUUAUGUUCAAAGAAAUCAUCAAUUAAAAAAACUAAUUUUUCUUUUUUAUGUAUGCAAAUCUGGUCAAGCUCAAAACAAAGCAUAUAAUACUGAUGAGUAUAUAAACACACACAAUGAAAUAACCUUUAGCCAUAUGCUUUCUCCUACUCCUUUUUACUCUAAAAAAGCAAAUAUUAAUAGCGUUCACACUAGUAAUAAUAAUAGUAAUAAUAAUAGUGCUGGUACACAAAAAAAAAUACAACAUCGUCCAGAUACAAUUACUAGUAAUCCAUUUUUUCCAAAAAACCCUAUCACACACAAAUAUAUUGCAAAACAUGUAAUGACAAAUCCGAACAGGGGUUCUAAUUUAAUAAAUAAUGACAAUGUUAACACUAAUUAUAGAAACAGUAGUUAUAAUAUUAAGAGUCAUGUGCAAGCAAAUAAAAGAAAUUUUACAGAACACAGAAUGAUAGCAUAUCAAGCAUAUGAUAAAAGUAAAACCGAAGAAAAAAAAAAUAAAAGUACUCCUUUUUAUAGUCACAAUGUGGGCCAAUACAGGCAUGGUGGUGGUCAUCACGAUUAUGGUAGUAGUCAUUAUGAGUAUGGUAGGAGCCAACACGAACAUGGUUUUCAAAAAUAUAAAACAUGUAUAGAAGAAAAAGCAAUUGAUACAGAAGAUGGGAACGAGAAGGUAAAAAAAAGCAGUAAAAAUGUUUUAAAAAAUUACUAUAUAAACAUAAACAACUUGUUAUACGUACUUUCUAACGAAAAUGAUGACAUGGGUUAUAGCAAAUCAGGCUACUUAUAUAUAGACGAGUCUGAAUACAUGUACAAUGACAUUAUGGAUAGUAAAAAUAUUUUUUUGUUAAAAAAAUUGAUGUUUCUUUUUAAUAAACUGG